rnacentral:rRNA from 1 species
UAGCUAGUUGGUGAGGUAAAGGCUUACCAAGGCGACGAUCUGUAGCGGGUCUGAGAGGAUGAUCCGCCACACUGGAACUGAGACACGGUCCAGACUCCUACGGGAGGCAGCAGUGGGGAAUUUUGGACAAUGGGGGCAACCCUGAUCCAGCCAUGCCGCGUGAGUGAAGAAGGCCUUCGGGUUGUAAAGCUCUUUCGGCCGGGAAGAAAUCGCAUGGGCCAAUACCCUGUGUGGAUGACGGUACCGGAAUAAGAAGCACCGGCUAACUACGUGCCAGCAGCCGCGGUAAUACGUAGGGUGCGAGCGUUAAUCGGAAUUACUGGGCGUAAAGCGUGCGCAGGCGGUUUUGUAAGACAGGCGUGAAAUCCCCGGGCUUAACCUGGGAACUGCGUUUGUGACUGCAAGGCUAGAGUACGGCAGAGGGGGGUGGAAUUCCACGUGUAGCAGUGAAAUGCGUAGAGAUGUGGAGGAACACCAAUGGCGAAGGCAGCCCCCUGGGUCGAUACUGACGCUCAUGCACGAAAGCGUGGGUAGCAAACAGGAUUAGAUACCCUGGUAGUCCACGCCCUAAACUAUGUCAACUAGGUGUUGGGUGGGUAAAACCAUUUAGUACCGUAGCUAACGCGUGAAGUUGACCGCCUGGGGAGUACGGCCGCAAGGUUAAAACUCAAAGGAAUUGACGGGGACCCGCACAAGCGGUGGAUGAUGUGGAUUAAUUCGAUGCAACGCGAAAAACCUUACCUACCCUUGACAUGCCAGGAACUCGCCAGAGAUGGCUUGGUGCCCGAAAGGGAGCCUGGACACAGGUGCUGCAUGGCUGUCGUCAGCUCGUGUCGUGAGAUGUUGGGUUAAGUCCCGCAACGAGCGCAACCCUUGUCGUUAAUUGCCAUCAUUUAGUUGGGCACUUUAACGAGACUGCCGGUGACAAACCGGAGGAAGGUGGGGAUGACGUCAAGUCCUCAUGGCCCUUAUGGGUAGGGCUUCACACGUCAUACAAUGGUCGGUACAAAGGGUUGCCAAGCCGCGAGGCGGAGCCAAUCCCAGAAAGCCGAUCGUAGUCCGGAUUGCAGGCUGCAACUCGCCUGCAUGAAGUCGGAAUCGCUAGUAAUCGUGGAUCAGCAUGUCACGGUGAAUACGUUCCCGGGUCUUGUACACACCGCCCGUCACACCAUGGGAGCGGGUUCCGCCAGAAGUAGGUAGCCUAACCGCAAGGGGGGCGCUUACCACGGCGGGGUUCGUGACUGGGGUGAAGUCGUAACAAGGUAGCCGUAGGGGAACCUGCGGCUG